rnacentral:rRNA from 1 species
UACGGGGGGGGGCAAGCGUUGUUCGGAAUUACUGGGCGUAAAGGGCUCGUAGGCGGCCAACUAAGUCGGACGUGAAAUCCCCAGGCUCAACCUGGGAACUGCGUCCGAUACUGGAUGGCUUGAAUCCGGGAGAGGGAUGCAGAAUUCCAGGUGUAGCGGUGAAAUGCGUAGAUAUCUGGAGGAACACCGGUGGCGAAGGCGGCAUCCUGGACCGGUAUUGACGCUGAGGAGCGAAAGCCAGGGGAGCAACGGG